GACGAACGCUGGCGGCGUGCUUAACACAUGUAAGCCGAACGCUGAAGCUCAGCUUUUGUUGGGUGGAUGAGUGGCGAACGGGUGAGUAACACGUGAGUAACCUGCCUCCUUCUUUGGGAUAACGCCCGGAAACGGGUGCUAAUACUGGAUAUUCACUGGUCUUCGCAUGGGGGUUGGUGGAAAGGGUUUUUCUGGUGGGGGAUGGGCUCGCGGCCUAUCAGCUUGUUGGUGGGGUGAUGGCCUACCAAGGCUUUGACGGGUAGCCGGCCUGAGAGGGUGACCGGUCACAGUGGGACUGAGAUACGGCCCAGACUCCGACGGGAGGCAGCAGUGGGGAAUAUUGCACAAUGGGCGCAAGCCUGAUGCAGCGACGCCGCGUGAGGGAUGGAGGCCUUCGGGUUGUGAACCUCUUUCGCUCAUGGUCAAGCCGCAACAAUGGUUGUGGUGAGGGUAGUGGGUAAAGAAGCGCCGGCUAACUACGUG
rnacentral:rRNA from 1 species